CGGCGGACGGGUGAGUAACACGUGGAUAACCUACCUAUAAGACUGGGAUAACUUCGGGAAACCGGAGCUAAUACCGGAUAAUAUAUUGAACCGCAUGGUUCAAUAGUGAAAGACGGUUUUGCUGUCACUUAUAGAUGGAUCCGCGCCGCAUUAGCUAGUUGGUAAGGUAACGGCUUACCAAAGGCAACGAUGCGUAGCCGACCUGAGAGGGUGAUCGGCCACACUGGAACUGAGACACGGUCCAGACUCCUACGGGAGGCAGCAGCCG
rnacentral:rRNA from 1 species